rnacentral:lncRNA from 10 species
GGGCACCAUUAGCCAGAGAAUCUGUCUGUCUAGUUCAUGUAAGAUUCUCAGAAUUAAGAAAAAUGGAUGGCAUAUGAAUGAAACUUCAUGGAUGACAUAUGGAAUCUAAUAUGUAUUUGUUGAAUUAAUGCAUAAGAUGCAACAGAGAGAAGUUGACAACUGCAAUGAUAACCUGGUAUUGAUGAUAUAAGAGUCUAUAGAUCACAGUAGAAGCAAUAAUCAUGGAAAACAAUUGGAAAUGGGGAACAGCCACAAACAAGAAAGAAUCAAUACUUCCAGGAAAGUGACUGCAGGUCACUUUUCCUGGAGCGGGUGAGAGAAAAGUGGAAGUUAGCAGUAACUGCUGAAUUCCUGGUUGGCUGAUGGAAAGAUGGGGCAGCUGUUCACUGGUACGCAGGGUUUUAGAUGUAUGUACCUAAGGAUAUGAGGUAUGGCAAUGAACAGAAAUUCUUUUGGGAAUGAGUUUUAGGGCCAUUAAAGGACAUGACCUGAAGUUUCCUCUGAGGCCAGUCCCCACAACUCAAUAUAAAUGUGUUUCCUGCAUAUAGUCAAAGUUGCCACUUCUUUUUCUUCAUAUCAUCGAUCUCUGCUCUUAAAGAUAAUCUUGGUUUUGCCUCAAACUGUUUGUCACUACAAACUUUCCCCAUGUUCCUAAGUAAAACAGGUAACUGCCUCUCAACUAUAUCAAGUAGACUAAAAUAUUGUGUCUCUAAUAUCAGAAAUUCAGCUUUAAUAUAUUGGGUUUAACUCUUUGAAAUUUAGAGUCUCCUUGAAAUACACAUGGGGGUGAUUUCCUAAACUUUAUUUCUUGUAAGGAUUUAUCUCAGGGGUAACACACAAACCAGCAUCCUGAACCUCUAAGUAUGAGGACAGUAAGCCUUAAGAAUAUAAAAUAAACUGUUCUUCUCUCUGCCGGUGGAAGUGUGCCCUGUCUAUUCCUGAAAUUGCUUGUUUGAGACGCAUGAGACGUGCAGCACAUGAGACACGUGCAGCAGCCUGUGGAAUAUUGUCAGUGAAGAAUGUCUUUGCCUGAUUAGAUAUAAAGACAAGUUAAACACAGCAUUAGACUAUAGAUCAAGCCUGUGCCAGACACAAAUGACCUAAUGCCCAGCACGGGCCACGGAAUCUCCUAUCCUCUUGCUUGAACAGAGCAGCACACUUCUCCCCCAACACUAUUAGAUGUUCUGGCAUAAUUUUGUAGAUAUGUAGGAUUUGACAUGGACUAUUGUUCAAUGAUUCAGAGGAAAUCUCCUUUGUUCAGAUAAGUACACUGACUACUAAAUGGAUUAAAAAACACAGUAAUAAAACCCAGUUUUCCCCUUACUUCCCUAGUUUGUUUCUUAUUCUGCUUUCUUCCAAGUUGAUGCUGGAUAGAGGUGUUUAUUUCUAUUCUAAAAAGUGAUGAAAUUGGCCGGGCGCGGUGGCUCACACCUGUAAUCCCAGCACUUUGGGAGGCUGAGGUGGGCGGAUCACGAGGUCAGGAGAUCAAGACCAUCCUGGCUAACAUGGUGAAACCCCAUCUCUACUAAAAAUACAAAAAAUUAGCCAGAGACAGUGGCGGGUGCCUGUAGUCCCAGCUACUCGGGAGGCUGAGGCAGGAGAAUGGCGUGAACCUGGGAGGCAGAGCUUGCGGUGAGCAGAGAUCGCGCCACUGCACACUCCAGCCUGGGUGACAAAGCGAGACUCCAUCUCAAAAAAAAAAAAAAAAAAAAGAAAAAGAAAGAAAGAAAGAAAAAAAAACUGAUGAAAUUGUGUAUUCAAUGUAGUCUCAAGAGAAUUGAAAACCAAGAAAGGCUGUGGCUUCUUCCACAUAAAGCCUGGAUGAAUAACAGGAUAACACGUUGUUACAUUGUCACAACUCCUGAUCCAGGAAUUGAUGGCUAAGAUAUUCGUAAUUCUUAUCCUUUUCAGUUGUAACUUAUUCCUAUUUGUCAGCAUUCAGGUUAUUAGCGGCUGCUGGCGAAGUCCUU